CAAAAAUUUGAAACAAUACAGAGAAGAUUAGCAUGGCCCCUGCACAAGGAUGACAUGCAAAUUCAUGAAGCAUUCCGUAUUUUU
rnacentral:snRNA from 1 species